rnacentral:tRNA from 1 species
GUUUAGAUAGAUUAAAACUUAGAUCGUAGCAUUGAAAAUGCUAAAGUAUUCUACUAGAAUUUUAAACA